rnacentral:rRNA from 1 species
CGGUGGAGCAUGUGGUUUAUUCGAUGCAACGCGAAGAACCUUACCUGGUCUUGACAUCCACAGAACUUAGCAGAGAUGCUUUGGUGCCUUCGGGAACUGUGAGACAGGUGCUGCAUGGCUGUCGUCAGCUCGUGUUGUGAAAUGUUGGGUUAAGUCCCGCAACGAGCGCAACCCUUAUCCUUUGUUGCCAGCGGUUAGGCCGGGAACUCAAAGGAGACUGCCAGUGAUAAACUGGAGGAAGGUGGGGAUGACGUCAAGUCAUCAUGGCCCUUACGACCAGGGCUACACACGUGCUACAAUGGCAUAUACAAAGAGAAGCGACCUCGCGAGAGCAAGCGGACCUCAUAAAGUAUGUCGUAGUCCGGAUUGGAGUCUGCAACUCGACUCCAUGAAGUCGGAAUCGCUAGUAAUCGUAGAUCAGAAUGCUACGGUGAAUACGUUCCCGGGCCUUGUACACACCGCCCGUCACACCAU